CACAGAGCCUGAAGCAGGCUCCAGGCUCUGAGCUGUCAGCACAGAGCCCAAUGUGGGGAUCGAAUUGGUGAACGGGAAGCUCAUGACCUGAGCUGAAGUCCGCCGCUAAACCAACUGAGCCACCCAGGCCCCCCUCAUUUGAUCUUCAGGACAGUGAUUGAGGGCAUUACUACCACCCACUUUUUACUGAGCACUCUGUCCACACUGACACAGCUAGUACGCCACAGGGCAGGGUUCAGAACGAUGCGAUUCCACAGCCCCUGUGCGGUCUGACCAUUCGGGUGCUCCACAAACACAGCUCGGUGGGGAGAGAGGGCAGGAGCCCCAAGGAAGAGCAAUCCCUCACAGUGGGGGUGGGGAGAAGUUCUGAGCCUGGCUUUUACUUACUGGGAAGAUUUCAACAGGUCUAGGUGAGGGAGGUACCGAGCUCGGCCAGAGGGGAGGGCUGGGGCACCUAGUCUCAAAGGUGAGACCAGCAGAGCUGGGUGGGAGGACUGCAGGAGGUGUGGCGGGAGCUUCGUGGCCUGAAAGAAAGGGCCAGGCCCAGUGGGAAUGCCACGCCCCAGUUUGGAGUUCUUCCUUCCAGAUCCCGGCCUCUAAAUGCAAUUCCAUUUAAGGGCAACCCAGCCUGGUUCACACCUAGCCUUGGAGAUGACAGAUUGCCCUGUGGUCAAUUUGCGGGGUGAGAAUGGGAGCCUCCGACUCUGCACCUGCACUGCCAGCGCCAUAAAGGAAGUCAAUCAUUUCCCAUAAAAUGUCACCACUGCUGAGGUGCAAUUUACAAGGGGGUCCUCUGCAGACGGAAAUACACCACGGAAAGCGACCCCUAGAUUUUCAAAUUCACUGCCGCGAGGCGCGGGGAGGAAGGCCCGGGUGCAGAGUGGAGGAGGGACCAGGGAGCCACCCCCCCUUUUUUUUGCCCUCGGCUCCCUGCUUUGUAACCGGCUCUGCCACGUGGUAAAAGCUUCCGGGGGUGGGAGGGCGGCCUCAAUUAUUUCUGCCUGAGAUGUGCUGGACCAAACGUAAACAGCGGAGGAGCGGGAGCCGGGAGCCCGGAGUCGAGGCUGGGCAGGGCUGCAGCGACCCUGCUGCCGCCGCCGCCGCCGCCGCGGAGCCUGAGCUCCGAGCUGCCGCGGCGCCUGCGAGCCGCCCCUCCCCCGCCGGGCCUGCGAGCCCAUUUUCGCUUGGCCGGUCCCCGCGCUGCCGGAUGGAUUGCGCCCCACCCCCGCUCCUCUGCUCAGUCAUUCAGACUUGGAAAGUCAAUAACACGCUGACAUCAUCAGGGGUUUGUGUAUUAUUACACGGCUACUUUCCAGAGUACCUGGCAUUAUCUAAGAGAGGAGCACUGCGGCUGCCCAAGAAAGGGCCCGGACGCGGGGCAAGCUGGCCUCUGGAGGGGUGGCUGCCCGGAGCCAGGCCUUUCCUCCGUGGGGAGCGUCUUCAGGGCACCGAUUAGAAACAGAUUAUGAGCUUUUGCUGCCCUAAAUGCAGAUGCACUUUAGAUAUCGAUACAUGCUUCAUUUUGGCUUGGGGUGCACUUAUAAAUCAUUCUUAAGUGACCUCUAUUUCUACCAAAGACAUCCACUUGGUCUUUAAGGAGGAUUUUUAGUGAUCUUCACAAAGGAAAAAAGGAAAAGGCAUUUUUUAUGACAGGAAGCCAAAGGCUGAUUCUUUUGAGACUCUUGGGGUUUUUUUUUGUGUGUGUGUGUGCAAUUCUCUAUUAUGUAAUCUCCAUCACGGGUGAUUAGGUCUUCUCUUUCCCUCCAGGGCUGGACUGGGUGGUUUGGUUGCUGUGUUUUUCUUAAGCCUCAUGCAGAGCAAACACACACAUAGAAAACAUGUCCCAGAUUUAUGGUGCAAAACUGCUCUCCAAGCAAAUUGCCUUAGAAGAGUGUCUCAAUUUGAAGGAGGGAAAUAGAUGAAUUUGUUGUUAAUUAAGACUCCUUAUCUUCCUAUUCUGGCAUUUCCUUUUCCUAGAAUGAGUUUUUAAAAAUAAUUUUAUGUAUUUUAGAUGUUCUCUUUCCUCCCCACCUAUUAUGAUACUUGUAAUAGCUUCAAUAACUAUAGAUUGUAUAGAUUAUUGAUACUUUUGUUCUGUUAAUACAUACCCACGCCAGUUAAAAUACUACAACUCAAUAACUCACACAACAUAGUACCUUUUCUGUCUGGCCAAAAACACUAGUUCCUUCUUUACCCACACAGGGCAGAUCUCCUUUAAAUUUUCUUAGUAUCUUAAAUUACAGAAAAUGUCAGCCAGGCCCAAAUUGGCUACCUGCAGAAUUGCAGGGUGAGAGUAGUUCUGCAUCAGCCUGAUCUCAUCUCUCUGUAUCUCAGGCAGGGAAAGAUCACUGAUUGACAUAGAAGUCUUUAGCCUCCCGGGGAGAGAGCAAGGGAGCCCUGUUUCUCAACAAUGUAACAAUUUCCCUCUGUGUGCUUGGUCAUUUCAGAAGAAUCUGUAGUAGAUUGUGACCACUUCCCUCCAGAUGGUCUGAAAAAAACUCCCCCACCAGGUUGCACUUCUAAAAUCACCUCCCCAGGCCUGUGCUAUAGUCCUCCCUCCCCACCCCCAAGCUUGCUGCGGGAAAUUCCCCUUCGUAGCUGCCUGCAGCUGCUGAGGUCCUGUGUGCAGCCCUCCAAGAUGGUUCAGUAGGUGUUGGGUCUGCGGAGCUUGAAGCUGCUAAAGGAAGGAUGGAGGGGGGUGUGGGAGUGAGCUCUCAGGCAGCCCAUGGACUAUUUACUUCUGGGGCUUUCCCUCAGCCCUGUACAGAGGAGCCUGCUGAUCUGUGUUCAUGCCCCAGGGCAGUGUACCACAGUAAGACUGGCAAAAGGUGAAAGGUGCUGGACUAGGAUCUGUGGGUUACAAAGCAGCAAAUUGAUCUGGACUUGGUGCUUAAAGUAUGUGGGAGGGCAGAAUGAAUCCUUGAUGGUAGACCCAGAGAAGGCAUCAGCCUUCAUCCCAUGAAACCCACCAAACCGAAAGAAAAAGAGGGGAUGUGACUUCUUGAAGAUCGUGCAUAUGGAAACCUCUGACUUAUAAAGGAAACAUAUAUUUUAUAAGGAGCAUUGAUCUGAGGUUUUCUCUUGGGGGAGAACUGUGCUUGGAGUACUUUGAUGACCUGUCCACAAUGGAAAGAGAAAUCCCAAAGGCUUACUUAAAUAGCCAAAGAUGAUUCCUGAACUGCUAUGCAUAGGCCAAGAAGAGAAAUAUGCGUUGUUCCUAAAGAGAUUGGACGAAGGUGCGGUGGGACUGGGGAAUGUAUUGAUGACACAGGUAUUAUAUCCUUAGGGCAAAUAUUACUCUUAGAACAGUGGAAAUGAAGACUUGGAGAGCACGUGUCAGACUUGGGGGGAUGGAAUCAAGACUCAGACAGAUUCUGCAUGACUUCCUAGCUUAUGAUCCUUCAACCAGAAUCCAUUACCCAAGAUGGACUUCAGCCAAGCUUCUCAGCCUACAGCACUAAUGUGUAACUUCAUAAACCAUGCCCAAGGCACGUCCUAUCAAGUCUGCCUGACAAUAGCUCCCACAUUCUGUCAGAUGAUGGCCUUCUUCAGGAAACCUCUCCAUCCAAAUGAAACCUCUCCAUCCAAAAGUUGGGUGAAUAAAAGUGCCUGUGAAAGAAUCUUCUUCUCUUAACAGGGCCCCUGUCAUAAGGAAACCUGGGAGAGCGAAGAAAGGCCUGAUUGAUCACAAGGUCCUAUCAAAUGUCAAAGCUGGCCCUGGCUGACCUCCCAUCUAUUCAGAGCUGCUUUGAUUUAAUCUCCAAACUGGCUGCUUCUCUAGGCUAGAAGAAGAUUGAAAGUUUCAAUAAAGAAAGGUGAUGAUAAUGUCUUCCUGGAACCCUUGGCUAAGAUGGAUUGGCAAAGAAUAAAAUGAUCUAGGUUUUAAAAUUUGGCUUUGAUACUAACCACCUAUUGAUUACCUAAGGUCAAGCACGGUCUGGAAGCAGAUGAUCCUCCUUCUAAAGUACAGCCAUAAGGUCAAUGGUAGUCUAACGCUCAUCAUAGUGCCUGUGUCAUUCACCUCAUUUCAUCCUGCCAUGUAGGCGUCUAAUCAUCUCCCAGCAUCACAAGAAGGGUGAGUACAGUGCAAUAAAAUAUUUUGAGAAACCACAUUCACGUAACUUUUGUCGUAGCAUGCUGUUAUAAUCAUUCUAUUUUAUUAUUAGUUAUUGUUGUUAAUCUAACUAUACCUAAUUUAUAGAUUAAACUUUAUCACAGGCAUGUAGUAUAGGAAAAGCAUCCUACAUAUAUAGUUUUUUAUACUAUUUUUGAUACUAUGAUCUUGGAACAUAACCCUUGUGGAUGAGGGGGACUACUAUACGAAGUUUUGGUGUAAAUUUAAGUUUUCAUUUCUUGGGCUUAAAUACCCAGGACUAUAAAUGUUGGAUCAUAUGGUAGUUGCCUGUUCAGGUUUAUAAGAAACUGCCCAACUAUUUUCCAGAGAGGGUGAACCAUCUUACAUUGCCACCAGAAAUGUAGGAGUGAUUCAAUUUCUCCAAACCUAUAGACUUUAGGAACGAUAUUGUUAUUUGGGUUAUUGACAUUUCAGGCUUUAUUUAACGUGUUUUUUAUUGGGUGAAUGUAAUCUGCAGUACACUGAGCUGGGAACAAUGAAAGAUCCAAAGGUGAACAGGAAGCUGACUUUGCUCCAGGAGCCUUUAUCCCCCAGUGGAAGUAAAGCUGUAAACAAUAAACAAGAAAGAAUAAAAAUAGGUGGCACCUGGAGGUUCAACCAACAUACAGUGUAGGUGUGGUGGAAGGGGCCAUUAAAUCUGAGGGUGUCAGUGGGAGGCCUGAUGUAGGUGGCAAUUUCUGAGCAACUAUUGAAGAGUAAUGUAAUUGGAAAGGUAAAAAGAAAAAAAAAAUGUAGGAAAGCCACCCAGCAUUGAAAAUAUUUGUGUGCUGGUAGUACUAGGAGUGCUCUGACUCGGGCAUGGUGGGAGGGAUCCAGCAGUUCAAGAGAGAAACAGCCUUGAAGGAAGAUCAGGAGUAAACCCAAAUGACAUGAGCUGGACCUCAUUUGGUAUCUAAUGAGAAGUUGCUGAAGUUGGAGAGGAUGGAUACUACCUGGUCUGCAUUGUAAGAUAUUGAUGAUGUCAUAUUGAAAACUUAUGAGAUGGAGACAUGUGAGAAGCUACCAUGGUAGUUGAGGUGAGAGACGCUGAGAGCAUGAGCUCAUUGUGUCUUUGUGGUACUUUCUUUCAUUGUUUUGAAGUCUGCAAAUAAUGCACGUUCCUUUCAAGAGUCAGACAAUAAUGGAAAGGAAUGAACAAAAGUCACCCAGAGUGUCCUUACUCGGAAAUGACCAUAGUAAACAUUUUGUAAUAUUUUUUUAAGAUUUGGUUGCAAUCUGUAUCUGCACGUAUGUAUGCAUGUAUAUGUCGUUCUGAGCAGAUAUUGGUCAUGCUAUGUGUAAUGUUUAUUUUCCCAUCUACAGUAUAUUAUGUCAUCCUUUUAGAUUUAUAAAUGUAUUUACUCAGUAUCACUUGACAUUCUUUCUAUUGUAUGGAGAUACCACAACUUAAUCAACCUCUCCCUACUAAAGGAUAUUUAGGUGUUUUUGUUUUGUUUUGUUUUUCUAUUUCUAGCAGUGUUCUUUUAAUUCAAACACUUUACAGAUUUGGAAUCAAAUAUAAAAUUCAGUAUCUGUGGUUUUCCUCUCUUGUUUGUGCCCAUGGAAGAAGGAGUGGGGCCUCCAGAUAAAACAUGCUGAGAUGCUCAACACCACUUUGUACUGGCAUCACACAUCAAGUAGCCUUGCUGCAUCUCUCAAACUCUGAAAAUAGCAUGGCUUAGAUUGAAUUAGAGGCCAAAAAAGCUGGUGCUUUUCUGGUUGCUACAAGGUCUACUCAAGGUCUUUUGACCUAGAUUGAAUUUCCAAAGAUGAAAUGUGCAUUAAGUUAUCCAGGGAUCUUUUUACAAAUGAAGGUGCUAAGGACCAACUACAAAAGAUUGUGAUUUACUAGUUCUGAAGUAGAGUCAGGAGACUAUAUAUUUUUUUAUUCUUCCCCAGGUAUUCUGAUAUACAGCCAAGGUAAAAACCAUGGUUCUGGACCUGUCUUUCCACUCUGGCAUGGCUCCCUCCACUGGCUAUGAGUUUACUAAAGUGGUGCUAGAAUAUUUCAUGCUGGGGGGAUGGCUGAGUGAUGGUGGUGUGAGCUGCUUCUUUAUUGGGAGGUUUGGUGUCUUCAGCUGGAAGGGAGCCAGACUCCUGCUGACCACCAGCAGGUUGAGGGCAGAGAUACUUUUGAGAUGGCAAGUUUUUAUAAAAACCUUUAAAUCUGGGACUGGGUUUUAAAUAAUAUCCUACCAGGUGUUGAACUGCUGUUUUCCCAAAUUAUUUACUGAUCCGUCUAAUUGGGUGGUGAAGGCAACAACAUCCCUGUCAGUAGACAGUAAAAAUGGAUAUCUGGGUGGACAGGACUAUCCCUUCUCUGAGCCCAUGUUUUACAUGGGUGGGGUUAGUACUGUGAUCCUGAAGGAAGACAAGGUAGAAGCAUCUCAGAGUAGGGGCAAAAAGGCACAGAUGAGAAGGCUCAGGUUGCUGAGGGCAGACUUUGCCUACUGGAUUCUUCUCCUGGGAAGGCUGUGCAAAGGACAUUGAC